rnacentral:lncRNA from 1 species
CAGGUUUUUCUUAGAGCAAAAACCUGCUUAUGACCUUCUCUUUAACAAAAAUUAUAAAGGGUUAUAGAAGGUUUAUAAGAAUCUUACCUUAUGGUCAAAGAGAAUACGAUUGGAUACACUAAUCUAUAAGGUUUUAUUAAGAAUUAGGUCUGACAUCAAUAAUGCACUAAUGCAACAGUGACAGUUGGCUUAUUUAGUAUAAAAGUCAUACAGGAAGCAUUGUCAAAUAUGAAAUGGUGUUUGAUUUUCUUUCAGGUGUAUUUGUAUAAAUGUGUUAUUGGUAUAUAUUCCAAAAUUAUGGGAAACUGCUAUAAUUCUGAUAUGACUUAGUGUAUGUUAUUAAUAAUUUUAAUUGUUACAUAAAAUCAUUCUAUGGCACAGAGGUAACCAAAUUUCUUUGUCAAUUAUGUUUUUGACUGUAACUGUCCUGAGACUUUUGUCAUCCAUGGACAAUUUUUGCCUUGUUUAGUCCCCUUUAGAAGAUGGUUUAUAAUCAACUGUAGAACUCUAACUGGUGUUCUUAAAUGCAGGCUUCUGAUAAGUUUGAAGAUUAUGACAUUAGAAUAGAGAAAAACCUUCCAGGGCUCUUAUGGAGAGCUGAAAUGUUCAUGAAUAUCAACCAGAGCAGGAGUUAAUUAAAUUGACUGAACCAAUAAAAAAACAAAUAAUCUUUUUUAACAUUUUUUUUUUUUUUUUUUUUUUUGCUUAAAACGUUACUAAUCAUUUGCUUUGUUUUUUUCAGAGUUAAGAAAACUUUUAAGCUAUUUAUAACUUUUAACAAUAGAGUCAAGUAUAUUUCUGAGAACAAAAUUUGGAGCAUAUUCGUUUCUCUCUACCUGAUAUCUCCAGAAUUUGGAAACUAUUUGCUCUCUUUUUACCUGCUGCCAUCCAUGUAAGACAUGACUUGUUUCUCCUUGCCUUCUGCCAUGAUAGUGAGGCUUCCCCAGACACUUGGAACUGUGCAGAGAUGUUGGGCUCACUGGAGCUGCACUCACCUCCCAUGUGAUGCUGUGUCAAAAAUGAUCUUUCCCUGUGCAUCCAUCGGCCAAAUCUCCUCCCCAGGCUGGAACACGAAAAGAAAGAGAGUUUGCACAAAGCUCUGUCUGGCCUCAGCCAAGCUUGGGGCCCAGAAACCUUGAGACUGAUAGAACCAUCUGUCCUUAUUCUUGAACAGAUUUGUAAAAUUAGGCUAAUGGCUAGGGAAGUACUUGCAGGAAAUAUGCGUCCUAGAAAUGCUUUUGAACGUUACAGAUUCAAUAAAUAUUGACUGUGUCAAGGCUAAGCUGAGGCACCUGGAUCCCCUCCCAGGCAGACUCUAGGGUGUUAUGGUGCCCAGCAGGCCCCCUGGUCCUGGACCCUUGCGAAGAGCUGUCUCCUUGCCAGUGACUUGUCAGCAUUCAAAGCUGAGUCUCGUCCUCACCGAACUUCCUGUUCCUAAACUGAACUCCACUGUCGGCGACAUGGGUUUGAGACUCCAGGGGAUAAGAACUUGAAAAUGUCGGCAGUACAUCCACAACACUGCGGCAAAGCCGUGGAUACCAGUGAACUCCUGUCACUCUAGGGCUAGAGUUGUGAACUGACUUUGGAAAAGUUUCAGAAAAAUAAAAAGCACAAGAGAGAAUCGUAAAGUAUUAUUUAUCUUCUCAUCCUCACAAACUGAUUCCUCUCUUGCAUUCAGUUGCUAAUAUUUAUGUUGAUCACCAAAUUAAAACAACUUGUGCUAACCUGCAAAGGUACUGGGAAAUGAAGAAGGUAAAGAUCCACGUAGCUCAGCUAAAGUUUCUUCAGUGACAUUUCAAGGCCUCUUUGGACCAAUUCUGGGCAGGAAAAGGUGCCCCACAGCUGCAAUGAUUGAAAGAGAAGUUGUGUGAGAUUAUUUCUUCAAAAGUCUUCGAGAGAGCUUAUUGAAAUGGCAAAUAAACAUCAGCAGCCAAACUAUCUUAGAGAAGUGACAAGUUACUCCCAGUGAACGCGUAAGUUCUUAAUUAUCAUGGCAGAUUUUCAUAUGGAAUAAAGACGAUAAAUGUAGGAAAAAAAUACGGGUUUCAGCAGAGAUUCUCAAACUUUAGAAGGUAAAAGAAUAAUCUGAUUUGCUUGUACAAAACAUAUUCCUGGGUUCUACUCCAAACGUAAUAAAUCACAACGUCUAGAGAGUGGACUGGGAAAAUGCCUGCCAGACAAUAGCCUGAACUGAUGGUGAUUCAGUAGGCCCUGGCUUGACUGUAUUAAAUGGUUAGGUUUCCCAAAGAAAGUUAGGCCCAUAGGAGAAAUCUUUUUUGGGUGCUUCAGUUCCCUCGUUCUAAGAAGCAGUAAUCUAGGGGAAGAAAUCAUCAAAAUGACUAAAACUAAGGAAACCAGCGUUUCGUACAAUGUUUUGUUUGAAGGGUCACACAUUUAGUGCGAAAGGAGAAUUAAAAGAUGGGACUGAGAAAGCUAGUGCCGUAGCUACUGCACAGCUAAAGGCAGUCAUAUGUCACAUGCUGGGCUGGAAGGAAGAAACUUUUUUUAAAAAUCAACUUGCAUAGGAUUCACUUGCAUGGGCCUAAGUGCUAUCUCUGUGGACUACUUCCCCUCACGUUUAAAUGGUUUUUGUUUUUUGUUUUUUCUAGCAGUAGUCAGGUGAGUGAAUACUAGGGUAAAAAUUGCUUUGGGGUUCCUUUCCCUAUCUGACUUAAAUACAUAAGUUAUUUUAUUUGUUUAGGAUAUGAUGCCAGUGAAUAUGAAGAAUAUUAUUAAUAGAAGAAAAUGGCUCAAGGGUUUAAAAAGUACAUAAGUACAUUUACAAACAUUAACUUAAUCUUCAGAGAAAUAAACAGUAAACAUUUAUUGACCACAAAAUGGGUGGAGAUGUCAGGAGGAAGGCUCAGAGAGGUUAAAAAACUUUUUUGGUUAAGAAAUUUCACCAAGUCAAAUGGAAUAUUCAAGAACUAAAAUUUGAUCCUAGUUCAUCUGUUUCCAAAGCCUAUGCUUUCUGACUAAAUCACAUUACUUCAUACUUUAGCUAAGAAAGAUUAAGUCACUUUGUCAAAACUUGACUAUCGUAGAGUAGGAAAAGUCAAAUCAUUUCUGAGUUAAAACAUAUGAUAAUAAUAACAGCAUUUUUGAGCAUCUGAAAUGUUAUCAAAUACUUUUCAGCAAGAUUUACAUGUGUUUUUAAAAGUGUAACACUCAUGAAAAUCCUGUGACAUAAAUAAUACUGUCUCUGUUUUACAACUUGGGAAACUGAAGGAUAGUAUUUUAGUAGUUUGUCGAAGGUCGCACAUAUUCAUUUAUUUUUACACUUGCUAUAGACUAGGGAAGGUCACACAUUUAAUAAGUGGCAGAGCCUGGAUUCAAAUAUAAAAGUCUCAUUACAGAAUUCACAUUCCUAACCAGACUUCUCAUGACGCAAGGUCUGAGUAGAUGAAGAUUAAACCAAUGAAGAGAAAUUUGCCAAGGAGCUCUACAGCUAAGAGUGAGCUCUCCACAGAAACAGAUGCAUUGGUACACAGCACCUUUGUGGUAUAGAAUAUAUCUUUUCUCUUCACAGUGCCGUUGGCAAUCUUCUUUUGGAUGGCCUGCCCGAUGGCUUCUUCAUUCAGGUACGAAUAAGCUGAGUCAAUAUGGUGGUAGCCUACAUCAAUUGCUACCUGGACGGCCUCUUCUACAUUACUCAUAGUAACCUGGAAGAGCAUAAAGAGAUAAAGAUUUGUUUGACUCAGGAACAGAUGAUCAAUUCUCUUAGCAGAGAUAUUCAAAAGAACCUUUUUUCCCCCCUACUAAGGGCUAAGAGCUAGAGGUGGCAAAGCUAAAUGUUGAGUAAAAAUCAAUAGUAAGUGUUUAGCAACUAGCUCUGAGGAAGUCCUGGUUUGUAGUAUUUGCCAAUUUCUGUAGUGUAAAUACUCCCACUAUGGAUGAGUUCAAGCUUGCUAAAUUGGGCAAAGAUGCUCACAAUACACUCUUUUGAGUCCUUAUGAGCACAUCACAGUCUUUAAAUCUCUAUGUAUUUAUAGUAUGUUUAUGAUCUAUAGAUUUGCACAAUCUAUAGAUUUACAUUCCUAACUUAAUUUGCUCUAUAAGAGGUUAUAAAAUUGGUUUUGAUCCAAUAAUUUAGUUCUAAUAGUUGUCUAUCCACAUAAAGAUAUAACUUUAGACACAAUAAAUUAUUAAUUUACCUAUCUAAACUUGGAAAAACAAAGAACAUUUGAGGAAGAAUAAAAA